CCCUGGCCAGCGCCCACUGCGCCAGGUGAGGAAUCCGAAGUCCUCAUCAAGGACCCUCCACUUAUUACAAAUUCAGCUGGGACUGAAGCGGUGUGUCCGCAGCUUGGACACCAAACAGGCGACCCCUUUACUAGCUGAGAAUACGCCUCUGUGAAGACAAGUGACUGCAAAGCAGCGAAGCCUCAGUCCUGAGAGCAUUUUUCUAAGACAUCAGUUCCAUCAGAUAUGUCUUUGGGAAUCAUUUCAUACUCAGCCAAGUGUUAGAAAGGGCUGGUUGGCAUUAUUUGCUCCAAUAAUAAAUCCAUGUGCGCUAAUGUUCGUCAAUGCUGCUCUGCAGGGAGAAGUCAAAGCACGCAAGCCAGGCCUCCAUGGGGAGGCCCGAGAUGACUGGAGGGUUUGUGCCUAAGCAUUUGUUCAGAUGCAAUAAUCCACUACUCUUGGGGAGAAAAUGAUCCUUUUUUAAAAAUUAUUUUGUCUUUUUAAAAAACUGAUCUAACAAAUUUUGCAGAAUUGAAGGAGCAACUGAAGCAAAGUUUUCUUGUUGAUAGAGGUGUGUCCGGUGUGCAGAUGUGUCCUUUGGAGACUGGGUCGACAUGUCGCCAUGGCACUGUGCCUGCUCCAGUCCCUGGCCAGCCCUCCAUCUGUCAGCGACAGCACACGAGGUCCUCCUGGACAGAGAGUAUCCAGUACUAUGGACACUGUGGACACAGAAAAUGCUUCCUUCCUCUCUAAAUCUCCCCAGGAGGGCUCCCUGGUGAGGCCCAAGGGAGGUGAUCCAGACAGCCAUCUCCUCACCAGAGCUUCUCCUCCCCCCUCAAACGAUGGAGAGAAAACAUGGAGAUGCUUCUUGCCGGCAGGUUUAUAAGAUUCAAAGCUUCUGGUGAGAAGCAGAGACAAGGUAGUAUCCUUCUGUGUUGGGGAGAGCUGGCCACUGCUGAUGCCAUAGCUGAGAGUCCCCUGCAGAAGCUGUCCCAGGAGGCCACAGGAGGGGUUGUCCUGGUGCAUGCCGACGGUAGCAGAGCUGCUACUCCUGCCGGUCCGUCCCUGGUGUUUAAUGAGCCCGUCCUGAGAUGAAGGAGGGAAAGUGGGGGCAGGCAAAAGAGAGAAUGUCCAUUGUGCCAGGAGGCAUCCCCGCCUUCCUCCUGUAGCUCUGGGACCAGCUGCAAGAAGGCAAAGUAUCAUACCAGCCUUUUGAGAGGGGAGGCUCAGAAGCCCAUCAGCAGACGAAUGAGCAGACAGAAUGCGGUCUAUCCGUGUGAUGGAACAUUAUUCAGCCGUAAAAAGGAAUGAAGCACUGACCCAGGCUACAACACGGUGAACCCUGAAAACGUGAUGCUGCGUGAAAGAAGCCACUCACAAAUGCCACACGUUGCGUGAUUCAAACGCCACACAUUGCAUGAUUCAAACGCCACACAUUGCAUGAUUCAAACGCCACACAUUGCAUGAUUCCAUUUACAUGAAAUGCCCAGAAUAGCAAAAGAAAGGAGUGGCUGACUUGGCAGAGAAGAGAUGAAAUCAUAUUUGCAUUUGACCAAGAUGGAGACAGUAGGGGGAGGAGGUGGGUGACCUGGAGGCUCACCUGGGAUGGUGAGCCAGGCCCCUCAGGGGGUGGUGGGUGGGAGUGGGCUGUAGAGGUUGCCAUGCAGGGGUCUCCCUUAGGCAGCAUAGUGGGUGUGUGGGGCAAGGCUUGUGAGAAGGGGCCACCCCAGCAAGGAUAAAGCGAUGCCUGCCCACGGGAGUAUCACGUUGGUCUGAGAUGCAAGAAGAAAGAAACGGAGAGGACCAUGGAGGGGGCUAAGAAAUUCUAAAGGCAAGAAACAGUCAGGGAAAAGAAAGGAUUCCACGGUGGGGGUGGCAGAGACCGAGUGCUGAGCCAGCGCCAGGCGCCCACCCUGUGGGCACAUGUUAUAAAGCAGCACCAUGAAAUGGAACGGCGAGGCUCCCCAACAAAACAGACUCUAGAAACUGAUGGCUGGGUGUGAACAUAACAAAACACUGGGAAGGGACAUAAUUAGUAAAUCUUGGGAUGAAUUAUCAAAUGGGAAGAGACCAGUGAAGUCAACCAGGGGGGCCCACCAUGCGAUUGUCCGGGUGAGGAGGGGAGGUUGGGCGCCUUCCCUGGCAUGCAGGUUGCCCCCAUCCUGCCUCCAGGGCUCAGGGCUCUGAGAGGACAUGGUUGCAGCAUGAAGGGCAUGGGCUUUGCCUCCUCCACUGUAGGGUGGGAGCCAGUCCUGCUGCAAAGAGCCGCUAUGGGGUUGGAGGUCACACAUGUGCACAGACAUGGCGCCUGGCCCACGGCAGGUGCUCCAUACAGCACAGGAAUAAUGGCUUCGUUACACAGAGCCAAGAAUAGGGAAGAAUUUGUUUUGCUCUAAGUGCAACCUUCACGCCAAGCAUAUUUAACUUCGAUGAAUAAGCAGCAAAAACAAACUUUGGGUUUUGUUCCUACAGCAAAAGAAAGGAGUGGCUGACUUGGCAGAGAAGAGAUGAGAUCAUAUUUGCACUUGACCAAGAUGGCCCCAGGAGAUAAUGGGAGGAAGGGGGUGACCCUGGAGGCUGAUCUGGGAUGGUGAGCUGGCCCCCUCCACUGUCGAAUGUUUAAAAAACAUUAAAAAUGAGUCAAAAGGAGAACAGAGGAAUCCGCCCCUAGCUGGUGAUGCUUCUUUUUGUUACAUACAAGUGAAGAGAGUAUAGAGAGUCAUUCAUUCAUUCAUGCAGCUCAUCUGGACUGAGCAUCUACUGUGUUAGAGAGACCACGUAUAAAUACCCUUUUAAAUGUUUAUUCAGUAACGAAGAUAUUCCUGCUUCUGACUUCUCCAUCCAGGUCUUGGAAUCACCACCUCUCACACACACACCCAGGAAUCAUCUCUGUACCAGCCUCCUUUUCUCUAACCUCGAUCCCAUCCCAUCUGACCAAUCAGAAACCAAAUCCCACCAGCCUUCUCUCUGUGAUCGAACUGCAUCUUCUUUCUUCUUCCCCACUGGGUCCAUCUGCUGGCUCUCUAGCUGGAAGCUUCUCCACACCACCCCGCACCCACCUGCCAGCCCAGCUGCCGGGACUUUGGAACAGACCUGGCUGUGGAUCCCCCUGGGGGGCUUCCAAGCUGUGUGACCUUGGACAUGUUAUCUCGCCCUCCUAGUGUUCAUCUUCCCCAUCAAUAAGACAGGCAUGAAGCUGCCUAGCUCACCAGGCUGUGGAAAGGAUGGAAGACCACAGCAGGAGGCGUGAAGCUCCUGCAUGGUGCCCAACACAGGCGAGAGGGCAGGCCUUGCCCACGAGAUACUUGAUAGUCUUCCAGCUUUUAUUUUAUCUGUCCACUUUGAUCAACUUUGAUCAGCAUCAGCAUGAUUUCAAAGUCUUUGUCAAGAAACAGACGCUGGCGUUGGAUGAGGCAUGGGAAAGAUGAAGAGAGUUGGCUGAGAAGGACGUGGUCCCCAGCCCUGUUCUUGAGGCUGGGUCUUUAGGGGGCCAGGAGGUGCGGAGCUGAACGCUUCCCGCCUGAGGCUUCAUCCGCCCGCAAGUGCAUCAGGACUCUGCUUGCAAAGCGACGAUCAUUUCCUGGGUUAUCAGUCUGGAAGCUGCAUCCACAAAGAACAGGAGGCUGUUGGUUUUUGCUCAUGCAUUCAUUCCUUCGUUCAUUUGGCAUUCCUUGGAGUGCAGCCAGCAGCCACGGGGCGCAGGUGCAGUCCGUUCUGGGCCACACCUGAGAAGAGCUGCAAUCCUUGCCUCUUGUUGGAGGCUUUAGGCCCCACCUCGUGUCCUCCUGACCUACCUUUCUGCCUCAGCCCUGCUCUGGCAGCCGGCAGUGCACAGGUGGGGCCUGGCAGCCCUGUGCCUACGCAGCCCCACGUAUGUCCUGCUUCUUGCCUCGGGUUUCCCUACUGCCCCUGCGUGGGACUGGCGUCACCAUUCUGGGGGACAGGUAGAUCUUGAAAUGAUGAAACAUUAAUUCCCUGGGGCCAACCUUGACCAGUGAGUGACAAGAGAUGGAGGACAAAGGACAAACACUUGCCACUUGUAUCUUCCUUCUCAGAGGCUUCUCUGUGGGUCUCCAGGGUCCCCAGCAGGAGGCAGCGAAUCCCAGCUGCCCACAGCCUAGUAAUCCAGUGUGGGUUCCCUUCUUCCCUGUUUUCCUCCUCCCAGCCCGGACCUGUUCCUGGAAUCACUUCCCAGAACUCACCACUAGGCCACAAGCUCUUGUUAUUUGAGGAAGGUAGCUAAGGCAGCCACAGGGAGCUCACAGUGUAGGGAGAUGGAGCCAGGCACCCAGGAACCAUCUCAACCCACGUGGUGAGGGCCACGAGGCAUUUCCCAGAGCCUGUGGCACAGAAGAAAGCCAGCCCGGUCCCCUGGGGCAGGUCAGGGGAAGGCUGAACUGGGUCUUGAAGAGGAAGUGGGGGAGGGAGGGACACUCUAGAGCGCAGGAGCAGUGAGUUCAAAGGCCAGGAAAUGUGAGGAGGCCGGGCUCCAUGGAGACUGGGCCCUAUUCUUCUGGUAGAUCUGCCCGGAUAUCCAGCGUGUUUGAUUGGACCUGGUUGAGAUGAGUUUGGAACUGAAGGCAUUUCCUGGCCAAAGUGCAAAGUGACCUUGGAGAGAAUUCAGUUUUCCUCAGAGGGGAUGAGGAACUCCCACCCUGGGAUCAAGCGAGGAAGAACUGCCAUCAAGUUUGUGUGUCCUCUACAGCCUCGCUAUUCCAGUGUGUGGGCCAGGACAGCAGCUUCCACACCACCUGGGAGCGUGUUGGAAAUGCAGAGUGUCAGGCCCCGCCCUGGACCUGUGGAACCAAACCCUGCAGUUUCGUAAGAGCCCAGGGUUUUGAAUGCACAUUAAAAUUUGGGAAGUCCUGUCCUAGGGCACUUUGCAGAAGAUGCUUUUGACCGGGCUUGGGGCAGGGCAGCAGAGUUCUGUAAGGGAAAGGGUCUUCGAUGAGAGAGGAGA
rnacentral:lncRNA from 1 species